UGCAUCUAUUUAACUUUUUGUGCACAACAAUUAUCGUCCACCUCCCUCGGUUUCUUUCUCUCCUGACCCCGUCUCGCUUUGUUGGAUCAACGACGGAAGAAGGAAAAGACAAGGAGAGAUCACCAAAUUAAAAAUGCAUCUUGAUCUUGUUCUGGUCGCGGAGGGUGGAAGAGACAAAGGGGGCAACGAUUUUCUAGGGUUUUGACGAAGGAUUCGGUGAGAUGGAGGUGGCGAGGUACUUGAGCUAGCAGGAGAUGGUGGUGUCAAAUGGAAAGGGACAUCAGGUGGUGCACUACUACCUCAAGGGCGCUGUCGGUGGUGGACCGGGAAAAGAGCUCGCGACACAUGCCCUACAUCGUCCCAAAUUAGUUUGUUAGAUCUCUCAUUACCAGGCCCUAUUUCCUACAGCCCUCACCCUCUUCAUCGUCGUCGUCGUCGUCAUCACUGAACUUGCCGCCGGAGGCAGUCUCGUUCAAGUGGCGCUCAAGGAGGGAGGUCAUCGACUGGUUAUCUUCCCUCGUCUCAGCUCUGAGUUUGCCUUACGGUCAUAUAUAUAUAUAUCUUAUGCAUUGGUGGAUGGGUCAACUUCUUUAAUCUACAUUGAUGAGAAGGUGAAUGCCAGCAUAGUAGAUUGGUAGAAUUUGUAGUUCUAUGGCUUAUCUCAAAAGAUGACAUAGCUUUUGUUCACCAACUUUGUUCACUUUUUGUAAUAAAUUUUCAGGUUCGAGUCUUUUACUCUGUGAGACUCUUUCUUAGUCUUAUCUCAACUAUCAUUGACACAUUUCUUAUGGUCGCCCUUUCAAGGUGGCAAAAGGUGAAUACGCUCGCCCCCAGUGUCCCCGUCAACCCAUCCUAGAACUAACAUGGAGGAGAUAAAUCACGAGCGACUACUAACCUUUGGAAUAGUGACUAGCACACAAAAGAGACAUUUAUCUCGGCUUUGUUGAGAUUCAAAUCCCAGACCUCAUGGUGGCAACACCUCAUGUGCUAGCCACUAGACCGUCCUGAGAGGACUCGUGGUCGCCCUUUUAAGAAAAUAUGUCAAGAGGGUUGCUUGGUAUACACUUGCCAUGCUAUGUCUAACCAGUGGUUGUUUCUUUGCAAGUACAAGUGAGGUUCUUUUCCUUUGUUGUUAUCUGUUGUCUGCUGGUAACUGUUCAAUUCUUUUUUAUAUUUUGUUCAUUCUUGAGUGCUCACCUUGGGUUAACCAUAAUCGCUGGCCUUUAUAUUCUUAUUUGGUGACAACUAAAUUUGUUUAAUUUCAUUGUUUCUUAUCUCUAUAUUAGCUUCUCUCAUUAUGUUAAUUACUUCUUUGUAGGUUUUCUUCCUAGUAGCUUCUCCAUGUAUGCGGUUACUCUUUCAUCAGCUCUUUUUCUUCUUCAGAAGCAUGCAAUGGUUGUUUCUUUAGCUGCUGUUGGAGUGAUCAUAGGCUGACCAUUCUUUAUUUUAGUUUUUCUAUCAAUUACUUUCUUUUCAUUGACAAAGGGAGGCUUCAGAAAAGUAUUUUUAUCAUGGCUAUUAACCUCUUUAUUUAUUCUUGAAAGGACAUAAGGACACUGGCUAUUGACCAGUCCUUCCCGCUCUCUUUCAAAUUAUCAGUAGUUCAACAAUCUCUAACAUUGAUUAUGAUUUUUUUUUUUUUGGAAAUUUUUUUUGGCAUGGUUGUUUCAUUAUUUGUUGAUUUUUACUGCUACGGAAGAUGGGCAUUCUCAAUAUUUAAUUUGUUGAAAUAUAAUAUUUUUGGAGGUGGUCAGGGUAACUUAUAUAGAACUGAAGGAUUCUCAUUUUCUUCAGGAACCGAUUUAACUGUUGGUACCCCAAGGUAGUUUUGAUGUGAUCAACCAAGUUAGGUCAGGAACUUAGGAGCACAGGAAAUCGAACAAAAGACGCAGCUAGCGAGAAGGACGACAUGGGAGAGAGUCGACGGGUUCGGUGCGUCUGAGGGAUGAGGUACUGCGGAAGAGUAUGCGAGCAGACGAGAAGGAGGUGCGCGACGUUUUCGAGGGAUGAGAAGCCGGAGUGGAAGUUUGCUCAAGAAGGCCGGAAGUUGGGUUUGGGUGAGCCCUAUUCUGGAUGGUCGAGAUCACCCAAGCAAGAGGAACCGGAGCAGAAAACUCAGACCAAGACGAGGGAAACCGGAACAGAAGACCCGGAAUGGAAAAACUCAACUUGGUUGACUUUCCUGGUUUGGGUGCCCGGACUCAGUCUGAGCGCCCGAAAUUAAAUUCUAUCCUGAUCGAGUUUGACAUUGAUCCGUUGCGAAGGGGAUACAAUUUUAUCCACCUUCAAGAACCUAGAACUCUUCCAGGCGUCCCAAUCAAGACUAUAAAUACAGCCUUGGUCCAAGAAGCUAAAGACAACAAGUAUCUUGAGAAACAACACUUUUACGCUUCCAGUUUUCGUUUAGCUUCAUUUUUUGUGCGAUCAUUGUUGUAAAGAGGGUUCUCCGCCUGAAGGAGAUAUUAGUACGCUCUACUUUCUUGAAUUAACAACCUCCCCGGUUGUAAUCAAGUAAAAACUUCUAUGCCUCUGUCUUUUUGAUUUCUUUAUCAUUUCUUAUGCAAGUGUUAUUUAAUUAAGUUAGUUGUCCGAGAAAGGUUAUUCUUUUGUUUUAUUUUAUGUAGGGGCUAUUCAGCCCCCCCUAGCCAGUCGCUAGCGGUCGUACAAGUUGUAUCAGAGCCAAGUUCGUUUCAGGAGGACUAAUCGUCGAACGAAGCACACGAGAUGGCUAGACCAAGCAUCUACCCACCAAAGUUCGAGGAAGAGUU